UAAGACAGAAGCAUGUAAAAUAAUGGGAAAUAGAUCCCACAAAAAUUAGGAUCUGCCAUCCCUAGAAACGUCUAGAGAAACAGUGGACUAAAGAUUUUGGGAUAUCUCUUCCAAAGUUAAAAAAAGCAAUUGCUGUGUCUUACAUUUCCUACCACUAAAAAAACGGACAUACCUAGAGGGGGAUUUUGGAGACAUCAUAUGCCUCAUUUGGGUGUGCUUCUUACAUUCAUUUAUCAAAUAACUUCGAAAGGAUGCCAGCUUUCUGUGUAGAUCCUAGCACAAGAAACGUCUCUGCAACAGGUCCAGGCUGAUGUGUAAGCUGCUGUACCACUUGGGCCCUAGGACCUAGCAGAUCUUAUGGUGCUUGAAGUGUCCAUGGGCAAUGGGAUGAUGUUAAGAGCCCAUAGCAUGCACUUAUAGGUGUGGCCUCUUUGAGAGUUCCCUUUGAUCAUUGUUGAACAAGAAAAUAUUUGGGUCUGGUUUACCAAAGGACUUACAAGAUUUUCUGGCACCACCAUUCCCCGGAGGGGUCAGCCAGCUACGUGUCGGCAGGAUGAUGGCACUGGACUAUUUCCAUCGUGGAAAGGGCAGCAUUUUGUCUUCACUGGAACAGACACUUGGUUAGAAUAUGAAUAUGCUUUCACUGUACGUAUUUGUUCUGCUAAAACCACCAACUGUAUAUGCCUUA